GUUACAUCACAGUGUGGAGCAGGUGUGUGGCUGGUUGGUUACAUCACAGUGUGGAGCGGGUUGUGUGGCUGGUUGGUUACAUCACAGUGUAGAGCGGGUGUGUGGCUGGUAUUUGUUAUAUCACAGUGUGGAAGCAGGGGUGUGUGGCUGGUUUGGUUCAUCACAGGGUGUGGAGCGGGGUGUGUGGCUGAUUGGUUACAUCACCGUUGUGGAGCGGGGUGGUGUGGCUGGUUGGUUUCUCUGAGGAGAGAGAUAAGAGAGAAGAGAGAAGAGGAGAGAAGAGAGAGAAGGGGGAAAGAGAGAGGAGAGAGAGAGAGAGAGAGAGAGAGAGAGAGACAGAGAGAGAGAGAGAGAGAGACCAUCUCACUAGCUAUACAUAACAUCUGGUCAUGUCAAAUAGCCAUAGACAGACAGAGAAUAGAGGUGAUUGUAUCAUAGUGCUGCCCAAUGGGAUAGUCAUCAUUUGUUCAACUUGUUUAUGGCUUAAUCAUUAGAAUAGUUAACUUCCAUUUGAUAGAAUAAAGAAAGUGACCCAAAAUGUCAUACAGAUAAUUGUAUUGGUCCAUAUUUGGGUAAUGAGAUAUCAUAAAAGUGUAACUGGCAGAAUUACAGAUAUCUUACUUUGAGGAGUUUGGGUUAAGAAGAAAGAUGGAUGUCAGUCGCAGCUUGAUAUGCCUUCUGUUUCAUCUUUGUCUUUCUCUGUAGUUUCUUUAGUCUCCUCAGCGGUGGACUUACUGGUCGAGCUGGCCGAUGCUGGUCUGGUGUCUGGCUUUUUAGAAGGGUCCACCACGACAGAACCCCUGCUGGUGUUGCACCCCAUGGUUCAGUCCAGUGGAAGACUGAUUAAAACAGACGUCCUGUUGAGGUUGUUGGUUUUUUAUAAAGUCUGAAAAUAACUGUUGUGGA
rnacentral:lncRNA from 1 species